GCCGGUGUGGCGGAACUGGUAGACGCGCGGGAUUCAAAAUCCCGUUUCCUUUUGGAAGUGUCGGUUCGAUUCCGACCACCGGCACCA
rnacentral:tRNA from 1 species